UAGGCACAAUAGUGAAACUGGCGAAGUGUCAAAGUGUCACAUGUAAAUUCAGCGCGCGAUACAUGCUGAGGUUUUACGUGCGAUCCGUCGUGCGAUGCGUCGGAGUUUGACUUGCCGCAUACCAUGAUUCGCGACACAUGGACUGCUGUCAAGAUGACAUUGGAUGCUAUGGCCUCCCGAAAAUGCACUUGGCUGACCCCCUCUGGCAGUUGCUACAGGUUGUGUGCACACUAUGGAGGUACGGGGCUUUUCUCGUGAUCAAGUUGCUGAGUGCAGUGCGAGGAGGACGGAGCAGCACUGUGGAGUUGAAGUCGUCGCAUCUGCAGAUUGCUGUCAAGAUAAGCAUCAAGGCCCUCCAGCUGUCAAGCUGCAACUACGAAAAGUGACAAGUCACAUGAGGGACUCCGUCACCACUGUAACUUCUGUGACUAUAAGACUGAUAGUAUGUCUCAUCUGAAAGGACACACUAUGCUCCAUACAGGCGAGCGGCCGUUUGAAUGCCAUUUGUGCCCUCAGAGAUUCUCACGAAAGUACGAUCUCAAGGUACACUUGCGUACUCACAGAGGGGAGAGGCCAUUUCAGUGCCCUUCAUGCCUUCGGAGCUUCCAACA